CCCACCAAGAUGGUCAUUAAGAUAAAACAGUGAAGUUUCUAGCAUAUAUUAAAAAGCCUGGAGGAAUUAGCAUAGCUUGCAGGAAAGCGUGCUGGAAAGAGAUGAUAUUUGAGAGCAAGCGUGAAAAUGUCAUCUUUUUACCAAGAAUGAUGAGAACUGAUGCGUCUGUCCUGCGUUUGGAUAGGUCCGGGUUUAUGGAUAGCAGCUAACUAUAGAAAGAAAUAAGAUCCUGAAGCAUCCCUGGAGCCGCUAACUCUACCUCUUUAUCUGUUCCCUAAGAAGAUGCCCUGGAUUUAAAGAUGGUGUGUAUUAAAUGAAGUAUGAGAAGAAACAGCUUCUUCGGACACUUGCGCUCCUCUUCUUCAGCUCGUGGAGAAGGCUGACAGCCUGUCUCACUCUCGUCAGUGCUAUCCCACCAGCUCCUUUAGGAGCCCAGCACCGCGUUUGGCCUGUUGAGAUCUUCCCGCUCCCCUCAUUUCUGUGCUGCAACGCCACCAUCCACGAGAAGUCAGACAGGAAAAAAGCUCUUUCCAGAGAGACGGAGAAGGAAUUAAUUAGACCUCUGCCUCAUCCUGCAAGACCAGAAGACAUGGAGUAACUCAGUAGGUAAACCUUAGGAGGAAUCGGUCAAAGGAAACAGCAACUGUCAAGUUCUUGUUCGGCAACUCGGUGACUGAUUUGAUCUACUUCUCAGAUGUAGAGGCAAAUGGACUGCUCUUU